rnacentral:rRNA from 1 species
CCUACGGGUGGCAGCAGUGAGGAAUAUUGGUCCAUGGGCGAGAGCCUGAACCAGCCACGCCGCGUGAGGGAUGAAGGUUCUACGGCUUGUAAACCUCUUUUAUAUGGGAAUAAAUUGAGGAACUUGUUCCUUUGUGUAUGUACCAGAUUAAUAAUCAUCGGCUAACUCCGUGCCAUCAGCCGCGGUAAUACGGAGGAUGCGAGCGUUUUCCGGAUUUAUUGGGUUUAAAGUGUGCGCCGGUGGUUAAGUAAGUCAGCGGGGAACGUUUGUGGGUCAACCAUAAAAUUGCAGUUGACACUGGGUGACUUGAGUAUAUGAGAGGUAGGCGGAAUGCGCGGUGUAGCGGUGAAAUGCAUAGAGAGCACGAAGAACUCCGAUUGCGAAGGCAGCUUACUGGACUAUAACUGACGCUGAAGCACGAAGGCGUGGGGAUCAAACAGGAUUAGAUACCCGGGUAGUC